rnacentral:sRNA from 1 species
AGAUGACCAAGAUGCUAGACCUGCUAGAGGAUUUCUUGGAACAUGAAGGUCGUUGUUGAACCCCCUGAGGGAGAGGAGAAAGUGGAAAAGGCAGAGGUGAAGGAGAG